AGGUGCAGGCGCGCCCACACAGCAUCCUGCCCUGAACUUUGUCCCACCGGUGGCGUCGGGGGUAAAGUGCCGAUUCUGAAGGGUGUAAUGGUGCGCGAGGGACCUAAUGGGGUUUGCCAUCAGCACAGGGUCUCCAUCCUGCCUGCUCCUCCCCUCACAAGGCUCCUUGGACUCGCGUCAACAGUGGUGACCACAGGCUCAGCCCCGCCUGCCCAGCCGGGACAACACUGACGGACCCAAGUCGGGGCCCACUGUGCCCCUCCCGCCUGUGGAGCGUCUUAGGCACAGGGCCAGCUGGAGGGGCUGGAGACGACCUCGGUGUGGUGGCCCGCGGAGGGCAGGGAACCCCCCCGUCCGCCGCGGUAUCCGGAAGGCGGGUCUGCGUGUCUGAGGCUCUCCCUGCCCGCUCUGCAGACCCCGGCUGCUGCCGUCUCCCGCGGCUGCCAUGCUCCCUGCCUUCUCGUCCUGUUUAAAUAUUUAUUCCAGUUAAAUAUUAAAGGUCUUCC